AAUCAACGCUGGCGGCGUGCCUCAGACAUGCAAGUCGAACGCGAAAGUCCCCUUCGGGGGACAAGUAGAGUGGCGCACGGGUGAGUAACACGUAGGUAAUCUACCUUCGGAUGGGGAAUAACAACCGGAAACGGUUGCUAAUACCGCAUAAUGCAGCGGCACCUAAUGGUGACAGUUGUUAAAGCGGGGGAUUGAAAGACCUCGCGUCUGAAGAGGAGCCUGCGGCGGAUUAGCUUGUUGGAGGGUAACGGCCUACCAAGGCGACGAUCCGUAGCCGGCCUGAGAGGGCGGUCGGCCACACUGACACUGACAUACGGGUCAGACUCCUACGGGAGGCAGCAGUCGGGAAUUUUGGGCAAUGGGCGAAAGCCUGACCCAGCAACGCCGCGUGAAGGAUGAAAUCCCUCGGGAUGUAAACUUCGCAAGAACGGGAAGAAUAAGUAGGGGACAACACCCCCUAUGAUGACGGUACCGUUUGU
rnacentral:rRNA from 1 species